rnacentral:lncRNA from 1 species
CAGAAAGUUAAAUCUAGGAUUAAUCUAAUUACCAAAUUUGUACCGCCUGACCGGAGACCCGAUUCGUGAGCAGGAAGCUAUACAAACUCACAGCAACUUCUCGCAGCUUCUGCUGAAAGACCACUUCCAGGCAUCUCAACUGCCAGAGCACAAUUUGAUACAGUGGAUUGAAGGUGACCCACCUUUGAUGCCUAUACAGCCACAAGCUCAAACAACUUCAUCUCUGCUGUAAAACUGUCUUCUUUGUCACAAGUGUAUUGUGUUUUGAAGGUACAUAGUGUGUAUGUAAGGUAGAUUGUGUGUAUACACAGUUUUUAUUUUUCUCUUGUGUUCUUAAUGCAUUUCUUUUCUUAUAAUAACGACAAAACUCAGUUUUGUUUCUUUAUUGUACCAAAGUCAGGGUAUCCAUGCACCUGUAAAGUCAUGAAUUUUGGCAUUGAACAAAAUUUGUCAUGAAAUGUCAUGAUUUUAACUAUUUU